UACGAACCGUCCAAACGUUAUUCGGAAUCACUGGGCUUACAGAGUUCGUAGGCGGCGGAGAAAGUAGGGUGUGAAAGCCCUCGGCUUAACCGAGGAAUAGCGCCCUAAACUACUUCGCUUGAGGAGGCUAGAGGUGAGCAGAACAGAUGGUGGAGCGGUGAAAUGCGUUGAUAUCAUCUGGAAUACCGGAGGCGAAGGCGGCUCACUGGGACCUUUCUGACGCUGAGGAACGAAAGCUAGGGUAGCGAACGGG
rnacentral:rRNA from 1 species